ACGGAGGGUGCGAGCGUUAAUCGGAAUUACUGGGCGUAAAGCGCGCGUAGGCGGUCUGUUAAGUCGGAUGUGAAAGCCCCGGGCUUAACCUGGGAACUGCAUUCGAUACUGGCAGACUGGAAUACGGGAGAGGGAGGUAGAAUUCCAUGUGUAGCGGUGAAAUGCGUAGAUAUAUGGAGGAAUACCAGUGGCGAAGGCGGCCUCCUGGCCCGAUAUUGACGCUGAGGUGCGAAAGCGUGGGGAGCAAACAGG
rnacentral:rRNA from 1 species